UGGAGAGUUUGAGACUAGAAG
rnacentral:piRNA from 1 species